rnacentral:rRNA from 1 species
AUACGGAGGAUCCAAGCGUUAUCCGGAUUUAUUGGGUUUAAAGGGUGCGUAGGCGGACUGGUAAGUCAGCUGUGAAAGUUUGCGGCUUAACCGUAAAAUUGCAGUUGAUACUGUCAGUCUUGAGUGUGCAUGAGGUGGGCGGAAUUCGUGGUGUAGCGGUGAAAUGCUUAGAUAUCACGAAGAACUCCGAUUGCGAAGGCAGCUUGCUGGACUGUAACUGACGCUGAUGCUCGAAAGUGUGGGUAUCAAACAGGAUUAGAUACCCUGGUAGUCCACACAGUAAACGAUGAAUACUCGCUGUUUGCGAUAUACAGUAAGCGGCCAAGCGAAAGCGUUAAGUAUUCCACCUGGGGAGUACGCCGGCAACGGUGAAACUCAAAGGAAUUGACGGGG